rnacentral:rRNA from 1 species
GUGCCAGCAGCCGCGGUAAUACAGAGGGUGCGAGCGUUAAUCGGAAUUACUGGGCGUAAAGGGCGCGUAGGUGGUUAUGCGAGUGUGAUGUGAAAGCCCUGGGCUUAACCUAGGAAGUGCAUCGCAAACGGCAUGACUGGAGUACUGUAGAGGGUAGCGGAAUUUCCGGUGUAGCGGUGAAAUGCGUAGAGAUCGGAAGGAACGUCGAUGGCGAAGGCAGCUACCUGGACAGAUACUGACACUGAGGCGCGAAAGCGUGGGGAGCAAACAGGAUUAGAUACCCCGGUAGUCC